UUAAAGGGAAGGGUGGAUGAAAGGAAGGACAGAUAGCAGAUGGAUGGGUGGAAGGAUGAGGAAAGACAAACAUAACACACACCAGUGAACAUGCCUCCUCCUUCAAGAUGGAUCUGAACAUACAGAGACAGACUGCCAGAGGCGCUGGGUGAGAGGACAGAUCAUAACAGACUUCACACAAACCCUGAAACCUGCUCAGAUAUGUAAGGUUCCAUGUGUCAUACAUGGGUUAUAUAUGUUUGUGUGAAACACAAAAUUUAGUUCUAUACAGUUCAUUUGUGUUUACACAUGUAAAAGGCAAAAGAAGUGAAAGAUUAAACAAGCUUUUGCAGAAGUGUCGUUAUCCUUUUCUGAGCUUCAGGUCAUAUAGGCAGUGCAGUGCAGUAGGAAAGUUUGGCUUUUUAUGGUCCUUAGUCCAACUUAUCAUGUGUUUCACACGCAGAAGACAAGACCAUGUCUACACUGGCUUUGUGGCGAAAGCUGCAAGUCGGCAGCACUGUACAAAAAGGUUAGAUUAAGAAUUUGUCAGUGUCUACACAAGAUACAUUCCAGCACAGAAGUGUUGUGAAGGUCACCUUCUUUUGGAUCAACAUCACUGCACUGGACUUUAAACUGCAUGUGUUAAUAACUUGCACUUUACCACAUUUAUUUACAAUAUAUAUUAAAAUAUUUUGUU